UUUUUUUUUAUGUAKUGKUGUUGUAAAAUUAUAUUWAUAGAUAUUAAUUGAUAAAUUUAAUUAAAAUUAUAAUUCAAAUCAAAAUGURGAAUAAUUAAGAGUUUAAUGAGUUMCAAUUAAUUUAAUAAUUGGAAUUUAAAAAUUUAAUUAUAGAUAAAAUGGAUUAAAAGUAAAUUUAUAUAAAUAUAUAAAUGAAUAAAAUUAA
rnacentral:rRNA from 1 species